AUUGAUGCAAUCAAUAUACCGCAGACAGUAACUGACGUAUGUCUCAAUUUGUUACCGAGGUAGUAUUGUCAAACAAAUGACAACACUUCCUCAUUGUGGGAAGUGUUCUUUUAUACACAU
rfam:Sharpea azabuensis strain DSM 20406 genome assembly, contig: Ga0059086_1030